CGUCAGCUCGUGUCGUGAGAUGUUGGGUUAAGUCCCGUAACGAGCGCAACCCUUGUCCUUAGUUACCAGCACGUUAUGGUGGGCACUCUAAGGAGACUGCCGGUGACAAACCGGGAGGAAGGUGGGGAUGACGUCAAGUCAUCAUGGCCCCUACGGCCUGGGCUACACACGUGCUACAAUGGUCGGUACAAAGGGUUGCCAAGCCGCGAGGUGGAGCUAAUCCCAUAAACCGAUCGUAGUCCGGAUCGCAGUCUGCAACUCGACUGCGUGAAGUCGGAAUCGCUAGUAAUCGUGAAUCAGAAUGUCACGAUGAAUACGUUCCCGGGCCUU
rnacentral:rRNA from 1 species